GAUGAACGCUAGCGGCAGGCUUAAUACAUGCAAGUCGAACGGUAACAGCAGAGUUUACUUUGGCUGACGAGUGGCGAACGGGUGAGUAACGCGUACACAAUCUACCUUUAAGUGAGGGAUAGCCUAUGGAAACGUAGAAUAAUACCUCAUGGUAUUUAAUUAUCGCAUGGUGAUUAGAUUAAAGAUUUAUUGCUUAGAGAUGAGUGUGCGUCCUAUUAGCUAGAUGGUAAGGUAACGGCUUACCAUGGCGACGAUAGGUAGGGGGCGUGAGAGCGUGGACCCCCACACGGGUACUGAGACACGGACCCGACUCCUACGGGAGGCAGCAGUAAGGAAUAUUGGACAAUGGGCGGAAGCCUGAUCCAGCCAUGCCGCGUGCAGGAAGACGGCCCUACGGGUUGUAAACUGCUUUUGUAUGGGAAGAAUGGCCUUGACUUGUCAGGGUAGAGACGGUACCAUAAGAAUAAGCACCGGCUAACUCCG
rnacentral:rRNA from 1 species